AAUAGAGCCGCGCGCCCAAAAAUACAUACGGCCUCUUCUCUCUCUCUCUCCCCGUCCAAAACCGACUCUCCCUCUUUACGCCCAAAACCCUCUCCCUCCUUCCCUCCCUCCCUCCCUCUCUCUCAACCAUCCCAUUUUCAAAGCCCUAGCAUUUUCUCUCUCUCUCUCGCCAUCUCAACGGACUUGGAAAGGUAAAGAAGGGCCUGCACAAGCCCAUGAGUAGGGGCUGGUUAUGGUUCAAUCAUCAAGGGAUACACCCUCAAUGGUGUUCUUUUGGGGCUAGCAAGAGGAUUGUCAUCCCUUGGAAGGUACUUGAUGCCUUUGCAGAAAUCCUUGACCUUCUCAAUUUCUUAAUACAGAUUGUUUAACGGUUAAGGUCUGAGGAAAGGCAACUCCUUGGAUGUCAAUUUUCCCUAAUUUCCCACAUCUGGCAACCUCAUUUUAAUAUGG